ACACUUUGACUCUUUUCCUCCUUAUCCAUGGCCAGUCCUUAUCUUCUCCAUAAGGCAUUUUCUUCUUCUCCUCCAACCCAAUGCCAUUUUCUCCCUUGCAACAAAAACUGAUCUAUUUUCUUUUUUCUUUCUUUCUUUUCCCUUUUCUUUCUUCUCUUGAUUCUUCAUUCUUCUAUCUUCUCCUUGUUCAUCAAUCCACCAUUCUCCACCCCAUUUUCAUGACAAACGGGCUUUGGGAAAGAGAAAAGAAAAUUUUUUUUCUUCUUUUUUUUUGUUCAUUUUUUCAUUAUAUUCCACUUUCAUCACUACCUAAGCUUUUUGGCUUCGGAUCUGCGUUUUAAAGCCAAAAGGUUUCUAUUAAUCUGCAUACCUCCAAGCUCAUCCAAGUGCUAAUGGUACUUCAAGACUUACUUGGAUUAGGACCUUGUUGGUGCUAGUUUUGUAAGGUUUACAUAGAGAGGCUUGCUUGGGCCUGGUGUGCUAUACCUAUUGGGCCCAUGAGCCGGUCAUGGCCAGAGUUUUGGGCUUUGACACAAUUGACAACAUGUGGUUUGAAUUCUUAAUACUCUUUCUUGCUUAUAAUUGACGGUGUUUGAAUUGUUUAUUUCAGCUCUGUGAUUAAUGCAUCCGAUUGCUUGAUCACCAAUUAAAUAGAUAGGGUAACUUAAAUGGAACCAGAAG